AUGUCCUUGAGGCUGCUGCGUCUCGCUCCCCGCCUCCCGCUUCUGCUGCUCUCGCGCCGGCGUCGGCGUCGACGGUGGUCACCCACCUGCCGGGACUCGACGGCCCACUCCCCUUCUACCUGGAGACCGGGUACGUGGGCGUGGAGGCGGAGACCGGGGCAGAGCUCUUCUACUACUUCGUGGAGUCGGAGCGGAGUUACUGACGACGACGAUCAUCAGACGGCAAGCAUCGUCUUCUUGGACUCGCCCGUCUGCUCGGGCUUCUCGUACGCGCGCGACCCCGAAGGCUGCGACGUCGGAGACUACUCCUCCUCUCUGCAAGUCCAGAGGUUUCUGAUUAAGGUGGCCAGAGGCGUUAAUCGAUUUUCCACUGUCAUGGCAAUAAUUCAGUAG
rnacentral:rRNA from 1 species